rnacentral:rRNA from 1 species
UACGUAGGGUGCAAGCGUUGUCCGGAAUUAUUGGGCGUAAAGAGCUCGUAGGCGGUCUGUCGCGUCGGAUGUGAAAAUCCAGGGCUCAACCCUGGACCUGCAUUCGAUACGGGCAGACUAGAGUUCGGUAGGGGAGACUGGAAUUCCUGGUGUAGCGGUGAAAUGCGCAGAUAUCGGAAGGAACAUCGGUGGCGAAAGCGGCGCGCUGGAUCCCUUCUGACGCUGAGGCGCGAAAGCCAGGGGAGCGGAACGGG